CCAACUUCAAAAUCACGCAGUAACAGCUCAUCUCUUUCUCCUUGCUCUUUCGAUUUCUCCCCGUGUGCGAGAACUGUCAUCUCUCUCUUCUGGAUUCUCGCCGCCGCCGUUCCUCAUCCGACGGGCGGCACUACCUUCAUUCCCCUCUUUUCUCUAUCCUUUCAACACUCUCAAUUUCUCAACCCCCAAUUUCAUAAUACACAGACUCAAAAGAAUCGAGCCCUAGCUUCGUCCUCUGAAAUCGUCACUGCCCUGCUAUUUCUUGCGAAGUCGCUGUCGCACCCUGAUAUGGUGUCGUCCUCUCGGCGCUCCUCACUUUCAGGUACCCGCAAGGGAGCCCUAAUUUCCUCCUCUAAGGCUCGCCGCCUGAAACUCAACGAGCCGCCGGGUCUCCUUCUCCCCUUGGCUGGCCGGAGCUUGUGGGUUCUCGCCGCCGUCUACGACGUUCAUUGUCGCUGGAGUUUGUCCGCCGCGGAUGCCGCUGCCGCUGACUCUCCGGUGAGGCCGCACCCUGCUUUUGGCGCUGCUCUGCUCGGUUCCUUCGCCGCGUCGUCACGCCGUCUCGAGUCGUUGCCGCUCUGUCCCUCGGGACAGAACUUCCCUUGGUUCUAGCUCUCCGAACCAUCGUUCUCGGCAGUCCACACCUCUCCCUCGUCUAUCAGUCAUUGGUCCUCAAUUCAACACUCGAGCAUAAGCCGAGCUCUCCCGGCUCGUUUCCCAACUCAGGAUGCAGUUAAACAGGAUAGAGUUUUCUUAUUUUCUUUCUAGUUCUGUAUAAAUGUGAUUCUCUUGGUUCCUAUAUAUAUAUAUCGAUUAUGCAAAAGGUUAAAACUAGGCAGUGCUGUCUUCUAAUGUCUUAUGAAUUCUCAUCGUCUAUCUCACGAAGAAACAUAUAUAAACUGUGAUUGGGCUAAUCAUCUAGUUCUUUAUCAUUCUAUGCUUGCUGCAUAUGUAUUUCUAUACAACUGAAAUGUAUGCUUGAUGGUAUGAAGCAUGGAUUUGAACUGAACUGAGAUGGUGUGAAUACCUUGUGUAUUUCGUGCUUGAUUGGCUGAUGCGUUUUCCUUUAGUUCAGUGGGGAUUUGCUUGGAGUUUUGGAUGCAGCAAAUGAAGUCUCCUCCUCUCUUUCUUUCUUCGAAUUCUGGUGAACUAAGGAUGGAUGUUGGCUGAUAUAUUAAAGCUUAAAACUCUUACUAUCACUACAAUAGCUGAGUCCUUGUUGAAAUGAUGGUGCAGGCGUAGGUGUGCUGGAAUGACUACCUACCUCUACAAUGGCAUGGCUUUGGUUGAAAUACAAGAAGUAGUGUUGUUGGCUCAUACUCGAGUGGUCUACAGAUAUAGGGUGGCUGAUGUGAGCUCAUAUAGGGUGGCUGAUGUUCCUUUCCAUAUCCCAUAUGGGUUUUGAGUGGAUAGAGGGUUGCAGAGGAUGGAAGUGUAGCUGCUGUAGCUGCUCUCUACACACAAGUUUUCCCUUUCUUUUUUUCUUUGCAUGGGGAAUAGUAUUGUAGCCUUGUAGGAAGUAGUAGGAAAGGUUGUUGAUUGUAAUUGUUGGAAAGUAUGCGUGUACUAUGCAAUAGAGUAGGAAAGAGGACUUGAGUGUAAGUGUUGGAGAGUCUUGAGGUGACAAAUAAAAUGUUAAAAUUCUGUAUCAAUAGAGGAUCUAUAAAUCUAAUUUUUU
rnacentral:lncRNA from 1 species